AGAGUUUGAUCAUGGCUCAGGAUGAACGCUAGCGGCAGGCUUAAUACAUGCAAGGCGAGGGGGCAGCAAUGUCACCGUCGUACGGGUGCGUAACGCGUAUGCAACCUACCUUCAACUGGGGGAUAGCCCGGGGAAACCCGGAUUAAUACCGCAUAAUACAGGGGUACAGCAUUGUACUAUUUGUUAAAGAUUUAUUGGUUGAAGAUGGGCAUGCGUUCGAUUAGCUAGUUGGUGCGGGUAACGGCCCACCAAGGCGACGAUCGAUAGGGGAGCUGAGAGGUUGAUCCCCCACACGGGCACUGAGAUACGGGCCCGACUCCUACGGGAGGCAGCAGUAGGGAAUAUUGGGCAAUGGAUGCAAGUCUGACCCAGCCAUGCCGCGUGCCGGAUGAAGGCCCUCAGGGUUGUAAACGGCUUUUAUUCGGGAAGAAGAGUAGAGAUGCGUCUUUAUGUGACGGUACCGAAUGAAUAAGCACCGGCUAACUCCGUGCCAGCAGCCGCGGUAAUACGGAGGGUGCGAGCGUUGUCCGGAUUUAUUGGGUUUAAAGGGUGCGUAGGUGGCUGAUUAAGUCAGUGGUGAAAUACAGCCGCUCAACGGUUGAGGUGCCAUUGAUACUGAUCAGCUUGAAAGAAUUGGAGGCUGCCGGAAUGGAUGGUGUAGCGGUGAAAUGCAUAGAUAUCAUCCAGAACACCGAUUGCGAAGGCAGGUGGCUACGAUU
rnacentral:rRNA from 1 species